UGUCCUCGGGACGUUAAUGCGCUCUGGUCGAGGAUAAAUGACCCCUCUGACCAAGGUAAAAGCCGUUGCUCUGUGUUACCUCUAUCCGAGGCACACGUUAAAGAUCGUUCCGCGUUGUGAGUCUAACACCAGUUGUAUAAACUUUUUACAACCGGUAGCGAUGGAUCCCUUGGCACGUCAUUCGAUGAAGACCGUUGCAAAUUGCGAUAAAGUGAUGUGAUGCGCAAGUCCACCACUUAUACGUGAAUCAUCGAGUUGUUGAACGCAUUGCACCGCGCCCUAAUCCGGCUGCGGUAUGCCCCUUUGAGCGUCAUUGUAUUCCUUCAGAGUCCUUUUUACAAAGGACCCGAGUUCGGAGUCCUCGGUCCUCUGGAUCGUGUUCUCUCAGAUGCGUCGCACCGAUCGCCUGAUGGGUCCUCUAAUGCCUAAGCGUGGAGUUCCUUCAGAGUCCGAGAUGUGCUUGACCGGGUGUUGAGCUCGCGUCACCAAGUCCGCCUACCAAGCGGUACUACAACGCAUGACCUCAUUGGGGUAGGACAACCCGCUAGACUUAAGCAUAUUAAUCAGCGGAGGAAAAGAAACUAACCAGGAUUCCCUCAGUAACUGCGAGUGAAGCGGGAUCGGCUCAAUGUGUGAAUCUGGCUUGGGGGACGUCCCAGGUCCGAGUUGUGCACUAUGGAUGCUUCGUCUGCGUUUGUAAAGGCGGUGGAAGUCCGUUGAAACACGGCACCUCAGAGGGUCACAGUCCUGUACCACCUGCCUGCACUCGCGCCAAUGACAAGUGCUCCUCGAGUCGCGUAGUUUUGUAAUGCUGCGCCAAGUGGGAGGUAGAGACCUUCUAAGGCUAAAUAUUAUGACGUGACCGAUAGCACACAAGUACCGCGAGGGAAAGGUGAAAAGCAACCAUGAAAAAUGGGUUGAAACAGUAGUGAAAUCGCUACCGGGAUAAGGGCUAUCGGGUGCUGGGGCUCUUUGGGUGUGCUUUAGUGCUACCCUCGGAGACGGCCCGCGAGGGUUGAUGUUGGGGCGAUAGACGCGCUGCAGGAAUUCGGC
rnacentral:rRNA from 1 species